ensembl:lncRNA
CCCCUUUGAUCACUGUGAAUGUAGGCAGCAUUUACCUAUCAGGGUUUCACUGAAUACCUGCUUGUGUCCUCCAGACACAGCUCUGAAAAAUCAGAAAAGGCCCUUGCCUCCCUGAGCUCAAAAGGCAGCCAGCAGCCACUAGGAGCUAAGAAUGGUGACUUGGACUGUGCUUAGAGAUAAGAAAAGGGCCUGGCUGGGGGCAGGGAGGGGACCUACUUUAGCUUCAGUCUCAGAAAAGCCUCCCUGAGGCGAUAAUGGAGCUGAGUAAGGUGAGGAGGUAAGCACGUGCUGCUCGGGGUGGGCCAGAAAGGGCCAAAGCAAAGACCUCGUGGCAAAAUGACGAGGCCCCAAAGCUAUGGGUGUGGCUGGAAUGGAAUGAAGGUCAGAGCUUCGGGAGGCUCCUACCACGAGGCUGAGGGCGGCUGGAAAGGCUGCUCUGCUGUUCCCCUGGCUAUGCCGGCGCCACGGUCCCAAUAAUCACCCUCGGGAGUCAGCCUUGGCUUCACGUCGGGAUCUCCCACUUAGACAUUUUAGGAAAGUUACUUAGUUUUCUCACGUUAAACCAGGUUUCUUCUGUGUAACGUCAGAUGAGAGGCGAUUAUUCCUUUUAUCCUUGGCCUCCGCAGCGGCCCGUCACAGAGCGAGCUCAGACUGUAAAAGACACGCAAUCUCUCAACCUCAGGAUGCCAGAAGCAGGGCAAGAGGAGUGAGUUCCCCAGGAGAAGCUGCUGCUAACUGAUGGGACUGUUGGCGGUGCCACUGCAGUGUCCCUGGUACCGUGAGGCCUCGGGCUUGGCCUGGAGUCUAAGUUGAUCUAGGCAUCCCGGCUCCUGCUCCAUCCCAGGACCCGAGCGCGGUGGCGACGUUUGUCAUCUCCACCCCGGCUCCGCCAGGAGACCCGCGCCCCUGGGCCGGAUCAAGAAGGUGGAGGCUGGGCCGAGGGGUGGGAGCCGUGGGAGCCGGCGGCAGCGCAGGCGGAGCCCGGCCCGGCCGUCGCCCGCUUCCCGGCUAGUGCUGCCAGCCCCGCGCCCGGCCCUGCACCUGGCUCCGAGCGUACUGUACGCGACGCUUGGCGUUCGCACGUCCAGUCAUCCUGAUGCUGACCCCAGAGUCGGUGACGCCGCGAGCAGGGCUGCAGCCCUUCAGACUCUGCGAUUUGAAUGCUGAGUCCGAAAGCCUGACAGUAAUUUUUGAAAUGUGGCCUUGAAGUAUUACAGUGAAGGGAAACAAAAACAUUUUAUUUUCAUUCAAACACACUUCUUGGGCCAACAAAUAUUCCUUCAGUGUGGACAGUAUACGCUAUGUGCUCAGAAAAUUCCUGACGAAAUGUAAAAAUAUUACCGGAUGUAUAUUUUAUCCUUAAAGAAAUUUUACUGUUUCAAUUCCAGUCUUUAAUUGUAUUUUAGCUACUACAUUGUUGGGACGGGAAAAAACUACAUUAUUUAUGUACAGAAUGUAAUGACAUUCUAGAAAGUUUGGGGGUUACGGAAUUCAAAGGAUCAAUUCAAAUCUGAAUAGCUCCUCUUUUUUUUUUUUUUUUUGUUUUGUUUCCAG